GGGCCGUUAGCUCAGUCGGUAGAGCACCGGACUUUUAAUCCGUUGGUCGCAGGUUCGACUCCUGCACGGCUCA
rnacentral:tRNA from 1 species